AGCGGAUGAAGGGAGCUUGCUCCUGGAUUCAGCGGCGGACGGGUGAGUAAUGCCUAGGAAUCUGCCUGGUAGUGGGGGAUAACGUCCGGAAACGGGCGCUAAUACCGCAUACGUCCUGAGGGAGAAAGUGGGGGAUCUUCGGACCUCACGCUAUCAGAUGAGCCUAGGUCGGAUUAGCUAGUUGGUGGGGUAAAGGCCUACCAAGGCGACGAUCCGUAACUGGUCUGAGAGGAUGAUCAGUCACACUGGAACUGAGACACGGUCCAGACUCCUACGGGAGGCAGCAGUGGGGAAUAUUGGACAAUGGGCGAAAGCCUGAUCCAGCCAUGCCGCGUGUGUGAAGAAGGUCUUCGGAUUGUAAAGCACUUUAAGUUGGGAGGAAGGGCAGUAAGUUAAUACCUUGCUGUUUUGACGUUACCAACAGAAUAAGCACCGGCUAACUUCGUGCCAGCAGCCGCGGUAAUACGAAGGGUGCAAGCGUUAAUCGGAAUUACUGGGCGUAAAGCGCGCGUAGGUGGUUCAGCAAGUUGGAUGUGAAAUCCCCGGGCUCAACCUGGGAACUGCAUCCAAAACUACUGAGCUAGAGUACGGUAGAGGGUGGUGGAAUUUCCUGUGUAGCGGUGAAAUGCGUAGAUAUAGGAAGGAACACCAGUGGCGAAGGCGACCACCUGGACUGAUACUGACACUGAGGUGCGAAAGCGUGGGGAGCAAACAGGAUUAGAUACCCUGGUAGUCCACGCCGUAAACGAUGUCGACUAGCCGUUGGGAUCCUUGAGAUCUUAUUGGCGCAGCUAACGCGAUAAGUCGACCGCCUGGGGAGUACGGCCUCAACGUUAAAACUCAGAGGAAUUGACGGGGACCCGCACAACCGUUGAAGCAUGUGGUUUAAUUCAAAACAACACGAAAAACCUUACCUGGCCCUUGAGAUACUGAGAGCUUUCCAAAAUAAGAAUGGUGCCU
rnacentral:rRNA from 1 species